ACCCUGGAAAUGACUCAGUCGGAGGUAGGGUCCAGCGGCUGGAAGAGCACCGCACGUCGCGCUGUGUCUGGUGCGCCCCCAGUAGCCCUUGAAAAUUCGGAGGACCGAGUGCCUCCCACGGCCAGUCGUACUCAUAACCGCAUCAGGACUCCAAGGUGCUGGUCAAUGGAACAAUGUAGGCAAGGGAAGUCGGUAAAAUGGAUCCGUAACCUCGAGAAAAGGAUUGGUUCUGAGGGCUAGGUACGAGGGUCCCAGUCCCGAACCCGUCGGCUUUCGGCGGACUGCUCGAGCUACUCUCGUGGCGAGAGCGGGUCGCCGCGUACCAGCCGGAGGACGGACUUGGAACGGCCCUUUCUGGGACUUCCCGGGCGUCAAACAGUCGACUCAGAACUGUUACGGACAAGGGUAAUUCGACUGUUUAAUUAAAACAAAGCAUUGCGAUGGUCCCUGAGGAUGCUAACGCAAUAUGAUUUCUUCCCAGUGCUCUAAAUGUCAAAGUGAAAUUCAACCAAGCGUGGGUAAACGACGGGAGUAAUUAUGACUCUCUUAAGGAAGCCAAAUGCCUCGUCAUCUAAUUAGUGACGUGCACGAAUGGAUUAACGAGAUUCCCACUGUCCCUAUCAACUAUCCAGCGAAACCACAACCAAGGGAACGGGCUUGGCAGAAUCAACAAGGAAAGUACCCUGUUGAGCUUGACUCUAGUCCGACUUUGUGAAAUGACUUGAGAGGUGCAGGAUAAGUGGGAGCCAGAAACGGCGACUGUGAAAUACCACUACUUUUAACGUUAUUUUACUUAUUCCAUGAAUUGGAGGCGGGGUAUCGCCCCUCUUUUUGGACCCAAAGUCGCUUCGGCGGCCGAUCCCAGCGGAAGACAUUGUCAGGUGGGGAGUUUGGCUGGGGCGGCAUAUAUGUUAAAAGAUAACGCAUGUGUCCUAAGUUGAGCUCAACAAGAAUAGAAAUCUCGUGUGGAACACAAGGGUAAAAGCUCGUUUGAUUCUGAUUUCCAGUACGAAUACGAACCAUGAAAGCGUGGCCUAUCGAUCCUUUAGACCUUCGAAAUUUGAAGCUAGAGGUGUCAGAAAAGUUACCACAGGGAUAAAUGGCUUCUGGAAGCCAAGCGUUUAUAGCAACGUUGCUUUUUGAUCCUUCGAUUUCGGCUCUUCCUAUCAUUGUGAAGUAGAAGUCACCAAGUGUUGGAUUGUUCACCCACCAAUAGGGAACGUGAGCUAAGUUUAGACCGUCGUGAGACAGGUUAGUUUUACCAUAUUGAUGACAGUGUUGCAAUGGUAAUUCAACCUAGUACGAAAGGAACCGUUGAUUUGCACAAUUGGUCAUCGCGCUUGGUUGAAAAGCUAGUGGCGCGAAGCUACCGUGCGCUGGAUUAUGACUAAACGCCUCCAAGUCAAAAUUCGGGCCAGAAGCGAUGCAAAAUACUUAAAAAUCAUCUUUAUUAAAAUUUCCUUUUACUUUU
rnacentral:rRNA from 1 species